CGCGGUCUGCCUCCCGCGGCGGGCCGGGUCUCCAGGGAGGACCUGAGUUUUCUUCACCCAUUGAGCGCCCAGAGGCCGGCGGGAGCUCCAGGUUCACCUCCUCCUCCUCCAGGAAAUCCCACUUCCAACUGGAUGUCUGGAUGAACUACUGAAAGCUGCUGAGUGUCCUGCAGCAGGCCAUUUCCAAUCCAGCGGAAGACCUUCUAGAAGAGAUGAUGGUGGGAGAGUGCUGACAUACUAUGUGAAGCUACUAUUUGGAGUUGGACACGAGUGCAUGUGUCCUUGUGCCACAACGGGAAUCUUGACUACAACACAAAUGAAUCCACUCAAAUGUUGGCAAGUGGAGCAGAGUCCCAGAACAGGCACCAAUUUGAUCUUCUACUACUUUGCAGACAUCUCUUCUGCAAACACCAGACAAAUUGAGACAAUGACCUUCCACAGGACCCAAAUCACCUCUUACUGCAGGAAAGAAGAUCCAGUGAGAAAAUUAGUCCACAAAUGGAAUGUAAAUCCAUAAACACUCUUAAGUAACAGAAUAAAUUUAGUAUGA
rnacentral:lncRNA from 1 species